rnacentral:rRNA from 1 species
UGAUCCGCAGAUAUCUGAAUGGGGGAACCCACACCGUAAGGUGUAUCCGUAGCUGAAUACAUAGGUUACGGAGGCGAACGAGGAGAACUGAAACAUCUAAGUAUCCUCAGGAAAAGAAAUCAACCGAGAUUCCGGCAGUAGCGGCGAGCGAACCCGGAGGAGCCUAGCUUUUGAUAGUACGAACUUUAGCCGAAAGGUCCUGGAAAGGCCUGCUAUAGUGGGUGAUAGCCCCGUAGGCGAAAGAGUUGGUACGGUACUAAGGAAGCGAGAAGUAGAGCGGGACACGUGGAAUCCUGUUCGAAGACGGGGGGACCAUCCUCCAAGGCUAAAUACUCGUGAUCGACCGAUAGUGAACCAGUACCGUGAGGGAAAGGCGAAAAGAACCCCGGGAGGGGAGUGAAAUAGAACCUGAAACCGCAUGCAUACAAACAGUAGGAGCCUCGUCAGAGGUGACUGCGUACCUUUUGCAUAAUGGGUCAGCGACUUACAUUCUGUGGCGAGCUUAACCGAAUAGGGGAGGCGCAGCGAAAGCGAGUUCGAAAUGAGCGUUCAGUCGCAGGGUGUAGACCCGAAACCAGAUGAGCUAUCCAUGGCCAGGUUGAAGGUGUGGUAACACACACUGGAGGACCGAACCGACUAGUGUUGCAAAAUUAGCGGAUGAGCUGUGGAUAGGGGUGAAAGGCCAAACAAAUCUGGAGAUAGCUGGUUCUCCCCGAAAACUAUUGAGGUAGUGCCUCGUGUGUCGCUCCAGGGGGUAGAGCACUGUUUUGGCUAGGGGGACAUGGAGUCUUACCAAACCAAGGCAAACUCCGAAUACCUGGAAGCGUAAGCACGGGAGACAGAGCACCGGGUGCUAACGUCCGGACUCAAAAGGGAAACAACCCAGACCGCCGGCUAAGGUCCCAAAUAACAGCUAAGUGGAAAACGAAGUGGAAAGGCCGUGACAACCAGGAAGUUGGCUUAGAAGCAGCCAUCCUUCAAAGAAAGCGUAAUAGCUCACUGGUCGAGUCCUUCUGCGCGGAAGAUGUAACGGGGCUAAGCUGUUAACCGAAGCCGCGGAUGCGCUGGUUAUCCAGUGCGUGGUAGGGGAGCGUUCUGUAAGUCUGCGAAGGCGGUUCGAGAGGACUGCUGGAGAUAUCAGAAGUGCGAAUGCUGACAUGAGUAACGUUAAAGCAGGUGAAAAGCCUGCUCGCCGUAAGCCCAAGGAUUCCUGCUCUACGUUCAUCGGAGCAGGGUGAGUCGGCUCCUAAGGUCAGGCCGAAAGGCGUAGCCGAUGGGAAUCAGGUUAAUAUUCCUGAACCUGCGUCAGAUGCGAUGGGGGGACGGAGCAUGGAAGAUCAUCCGGGUGUUGGAAGUCCCGGUUGUUUAGCGUAGGAGGUCUGCAGGCAAAUCCGCAGACGCAUCUCCAAGGCAAAGACACGUGCCGCUACGGCGGCGAAGUGAUCGGAAGUGCUUCCAAGAAAAGCCUCUAAGCCCCAGUCUGACGCGGACCGUACCGCAAACCGACACUGGUGGGCGAGCUGAAUAUGCUCAGGCGCUUGAGAGAACUCGGGAGAAGGAACUCGGCAAAUUGACACCGUAACUUCGGAAGAAGGUGUGCCGUAGUACCGUGAGAGGAGAGACACCUUGAGCGGGAAACGGUCUCAGAGAAUAGGUGGCUGCGACUGUUUAUUAAAAACACAGCACUCUGCAAAGUCGAAAGACGACGUAUAGGGUGUGAUGCCUGCCCGGUGCUGGAAGAUUAAUUGAUGGGGUGAGAGCCCUUGAUCGAAGUCCCAGUAAACGGCGGCCGUAACUAUAACGGUCCUAAGGUAGCGAAAUUCCUUGUCGGGUAAGUUCCGACCUGCACGAAUGGCAUAACGAUGGCCACACUGUCUCCUCCCGAGACUCAGUGAAGUUGAAAUGUUUGUGAUGAUGCAAUCUACCCGCGGCUAGACGGAAAGACCCCAUGAACCUUUACUGCAGCUUUGCAUUGAACUGUGAACCGAUUUGUGUAGGAUAGGUGGGAGGCAGAGAAGAGGCCACGCCAGUGGCCUUGGAGCCGACCUUGAAAUACCACCCUGAUUUGUUUGCGGUUCUAACCACGGACAGUGAUCCUGUCUUGGGACCGUGCAUGGUAGGCAGUUUGACUGGGGCGGUCUCCUCCUAAAGGGUAACGGAGGAGUACGAAGGUACGCUAGGUACGGUCGGAAAUCGUGCUGAUAGUGCAAUGGCAAAAGCGUGCUUGACUGCGAGAGCAACAACUCGAGCAGAUGCGAAAGCAGGUCAUAGUGAUCCGGUGGCUCUGAAUGGAAGGGCCAUCGCUCAACGGAUAAA